rnacentral:lncRNA from 1 species
CAGCCAACUAGAGCAUCUCCUGCCUUACCCUCCUGGAGCCCCGAUGUUAGACUUUGGCUCUGCUUCUCCCUCCAUGGCGUCUGGCACUCUGAGGACCUGUGACAUCAGGUCCUAAAUGGAGCUGCCAGCACCCAGAAAAUUCCAGUCCCGGCCACCGAUUCCAGGAGCAUGCAGUAGGUGGCACCUAAAAGCUCUUUGGAGGCGAGCAGGCGCCAUUCGAGCAAAAGCGGCGGCCGCUGCAGCAGCUGGCACGGCUCAGAAGUCGGGGACUGAAGACGGGGCGAGGGGAGCGAGGGGAGCGGCGGCAGCGGCAGCGGCAGCGGCAGCGGCAGGAGGAGCGGCAGGAGGAGCGGCAGGAGGAGCGGCCCGCCGGGCGGCGCAGGUGCGGGGCGCGCGGGGCGCAGGUGCGCGGGGGGCGCGGGGGCGCAGGUGCGCGGGGCGCGCGGGGCGCGCGGGGCGCAGGUGCGGGGCGCGCGGGGGCGCAGGUGCGCGCGGGCGCGGGGGGCGCGGGGGGCGCGGGGCGCAGGUGCCGGGGGCGCGGGGCGCGGGGCGCGGGGCGGGCGGGCAGCUGACGGCAGCGUCACGGCGGCGGCGCGAGGGAGCGCGCGCCCCGCCUGCCUCGGGAGGAGCCCGCAGCCGCACAGCCUGCGCCGCCCUGUCCUGCGCCAGGCGAGCUGAGCUCGGGAGAGGCUGGGCGCAGAGUUGCGCGGCUCCUCAGGUGCUUCCUGGUUGACAGUCUGAGCUCUCAAGCACCAUGCCGGAACAAAGCAAUGAUUACCGGGUGGCCGUGUUCGGAGCAGGUGGCGUUGGCAAGAGCUCGCUGGUCUUGAGGUUUGUGAAGGGCACGUUCCGGGAGAGCUACAUCCCCACGGUGGAGGAUACCUACCGGCAGGUCAUCAGCUGUGACAAGAGCAUCUGCACGCUGCAGAUCACGGACACCACGGGCAGCCACCAGUUCCCCGCCAUGCAGCGGCUGUCCAUCUCCAAGGGGCACGCCUUCAUCCUGGUCUACUCCAUCACCAGCCGGCAGUCCUUGGAGGAGCUCAAGCCCAUCUACGAACAGAUCUGCGAGAUCAAAGGGGACGUGGAGAGCAUCCCCAUCAUGCUGGUGGGAAACAAGUGUGAUGAGAGCCCCAACCGCGAGGUGGAGAGUGGCGAAGCCGAGGCCCUGGCCCGCAAGUGGAAGUGCGCCUUCAUGGAGACCUCCGCCAAGCUCAACCACAACGUGAAGGAGCUCUUCCAGGAGCUGCUCAACCUGGAGAAACGCAGGACCGUGAGCCUCCAGAUCGACGGGAAAAAGAGCAAGCAGCAGAAGAGGAAAGAAAAGCUCAAGGGCAAAUGCGUGGUCAUGUGAACACCCUUCUGUGGGAGAAGCCGCAGCGUGUCCCCCAUUCUGUCCCCUUCCCCCCCCCACGUGACACCACCGUCGUCAGGGUAGCAUGUAUGAUGCCCACGUGUUCAAUAUCGCCUUUUGACAGAGAUAUGCCCUGUCGUCCCUGAGAGGGCAUUUCACACCGCCUCCGAUCAGCGCCCCUCUCUGGAAUCAGGGACUCUGCCCAGCGGCUCAGAUGGAAACCCGUGUGCCCGGCAGCACAGGGGACUGCCACGGGCGCCAGCCGUGGCCCCCGGUGGCCGUGCCUGGAGAAGGCGUGGGGCUGGUAUGGGCGGGAGUGGGUCCCCUCUGCAUGCAUGUGACAGCCUGUGACCCAGAGCUACAGCCCACCCAGCCCGGGCCUUUCCCUCCGGUGGCGGAGCUGGUCAUCCUUGGAGGCGGGAUGGAGGUGGGAGGCGAGGAGACCAGGCCAACGCAGUUCCUUCCAUUUCAGGUUCUCUAGCAAAAUCACAAAUAAAAUGACACAGCAUCCCCCUCCGCCCCCGAGGGUGCUCACUGUCGGGUCCCUGGCUCGGGGGAGCCUUGCCCCUCCAAGGGGAUGCACUCACCUCACUAGGCCUAGUUAGCAGGCAUCCCCAUCCCCGUUUGGAGUAUUUAUUUCCCAUACAAUGAUGAGUUCUCGAAGGGCGUCCUGCUGGGUCAGAGGCCCUUCCAUGUGGGAGUGAGGAUAUUUUGACGUGACUAGAGCAGCUCCCUAAGGCUCUGCGUGUUACACUUGAGGAUUUUAGAAAUGUGCUUUAUUUUCCUUCCUUUGACCCAUGAGUGGUAUGCUUCUUCCAGCCCCUCAGAUUUUAAAUAAAUGCAAUUAAAGUAGCUAAUUUUAGACAAUUAUUUUCCCUCCAAAAUAGUUUCCUUCUUUUCAGUAACUCUGUCUGUAUCCAGCUGGGGAACAGCCAACAAAGGCCACCCAAAGACCAGAAGCACAUCCGUUUUCUAAAUCACAUGGGUAUCUAAACGCCAUACUUUGCACCUCAACAAAAUACUUUGAAACAGAAGUUGUUCACUGUGUUUUUGAUGAUCUGUCUAUCACAGAAGUAUACUCCUGGAAAAUGUGCUCGAGUAAUAGAUUAUCUUGCAUGCUCCCUCAGAAGUGUCUUCUAAGAGCCGUUUGAUGCCAUGUUCACUCUGGAAACAGUUAUCUUUUCCUCUUAGUGACCUUGUGUGCAUCCUUGAUCCUCUGGACCAAAUUAGGGCCCCUGCUGGUUCCUGCAUGCUGGUGACGAGAUGGACGGUGGCCAGUGGCUGGAGACAGGAAAGCUGUUCCGUUGUGGGCCAGACACAGUCCACUCAGCUGCUCUGUCCAGUCUGGUUUGGCUCUGCUUCCAGAAAGUUCCCACUGACAGAGCCU